AUAUAUAUAAGUCUGAAGGGACUUAUGAUAUUCACACAUAGCAUCCCAGAAUUUUCUAAUUCUACGUUGUUACAAGUUCAUCUACGGAAUGGCUAAGCUAUUGAUGCUGUUAUUUCUAGUUGGAUUUUUGGCGAUUUCAAUUCUGCCUGAAUUUGCCGAAGCUCAAUAUGGUGGCCCGUGUUAUCCGACCUGUCGAUAUGGCACUUAUAUUUGUGGGUACUGUAGACACCCCUACCGGCCUUACAGAUGUUGCGGCGGCGGAGGAAGAGGAUACCCAUAGUAGUACCAAAGGAUUUCGUCAAAUACACUAAAACAGCAAUUGACCAAUACCAGUGUUACCAACAAAAAAAAGCGUCAGCAGAGGUUACCAAGAUAAAAUAAGCAAUUCAUUUGAAAUUUACAACUUUCUGUUUUUUUCUUUACGUUUUUCCUCUUAUCUUACAUAAAAACACAAAUGAAAUGAAAUUUGAUAAUAAAAGUGAUACAUUA